rnacentral:snRNA from 1 species
CACCACAGUUGCAAUCGCCA